rnacentral:rRNA from 1 species
GAUGAACGCUGGCGGCGUGCCUAAUACAUGCAAGUCGAGCGAAUGGAUUAAGAGCUUGCUCUUAUGAAGUUAGCGGCGGACGGGUGAGUAACACGUGGGUAACCUGCCCAUAAGGCUGGGAUAACUCCGGGAAACCGGGGCUAAUACCGGAUAACAUUUUGAACCGCAUGGUUCGAAAUUGAAAGGCGGCUUCGGCUGUCAUUUAUGGAUGGACCCGCGUCGCAUUAGCUAGUUGGUGAGGUAACGGCUCACCAAGGCAACGAUGCGUAGCCGACCUGAGAGGGUGAUCGGCCACACUGGGACUGAGACACGGCCCAGACUCCUACGGGAGGCAGCAGUAGGGAAUCUUCCGCAAAGGACGAAAGUCUGACGGAGCAACGCCGCGUGAGUGAUGAAGGCUUUCGGGUCGUAAAACUCUGUUGUUAGGGAAGAACAAGUGCUAGUUGAAUAAGCUGGCACCUUGACGGUACCUAACCAGAAAGCCACGGCUAACUACGUGCCAGCAGCCGCCGUAA